rnacentral:rRNA from 1 species
UACAUGUGGGGCAAGCGUUGUUCGGAAUUACUGGGCCUAAAGGGUGCGUAGGCGGCUUGUUAAGUCAGGGGUGAAAUCCCACGGCCCAACCGUGGAACUGCCUUUGAUACUGGCGAGCUUGAGUGCGUGAGGGGUAACCGGAACGAGUAGUGUAGCGGUGAAAUGCGUAGAUAUUACUCGGAAGGCCAAAGGCGAAGGCAGGUUACUGGUACGCAACUGACGCUGAGGCACGAAAGCGUGGGGAGCAAACAGG